UGGGGAAUAUUGGACAAUGGGCGCAAGCCUGAUCCAGCAAUGCCGCGUGUGUGAAGAAGGCCUGCGGGUUGUAAAGCACUUUCAAUCGUGAAAAAAAGCUCAUGGCUAAUACCCAUGGGUCUUGAUGUUAACGAUACAAGAAGCACCGGCUAACUCCGUGCCAGCAGCCGCGGUAAUACGGAGGGUGCGAGCGUUAAUCGGAAUUACUGGGCGUAAAGAGCACGUAGGCGGCUUGGUCAGUCGGAUGUGAAAGCCCCGGGCUUAACCUGGGAAUUGCACUCGAUACUGCCAAGCUAGAGUUUAGUAGAGGAAUGCGGAAUUCCGGGUGUAGCGGUGAAAUGCGUAGAUAUCCGGAGGAACAUCAAUGGCGAAGGCAGCAUUCUGGGCUAAAACUGACGCUGAGGUGCGAAAGCGUGGGUAGCAAACAGGAUUAGAUACCCUGGUAGUCCACGCCGUAAACGAUGUCAACUAGCUGUUGGGAUUUAUCUUAGUAGCGAAGCUAACGCGAUAAGUUGACCGCCUGGGGAGUACGCGCGCAAGCGUA
rnacentral:rRNA from 1 species